GGAGCCGCCUCUGUGGCUCACCCUGCUUCCAAAAACCAGGCUGUGCCAAACCAAUACAAGAGCCAAGAGAAUAACUGAGAACUAAACCACCAGCAGAGGCUGAGGAGAUUGGAAGGAAAAGGGAAAACUGUGUGGUAAGAAGAUGAAUAGAGAGGUUUGGCUUAACUGUUUGGCUGAUUUUGUAGCCAGUGAGAAGACAUAAAUGUCUCCAAAGUGCAGACAAUUUGAUCCAAGAUACUUACAGAACACGAGUUCAAUUCUUUCUGGAAUUCUGUACACCAACCUGCCCUUUAUCAGCUGUGAAGGGAGUGAAGAGAAACUCUUCUGUUAACUGGUGACAGUCUACAGAAGAGUAACAGAGGUGAUCAAUAGAAAUCACUGGAAAAACUGGAUUUGCUUUGUCUAGACAGAAAAAGACUAAGAUAAGCCACUCCAAGAGUUUUAACAGAAGAAGUGCUGGAUCCUCAGCCCUGAAUGAACUCACCUCAGGAAUCUUCCAAAGCCACAGACUACUGAAGAACAAAAGAUUAAUUUUUUGAGCAGCAGCACACUGCAGUUAGGCAACACUGCAUUUCCAGGUUUUUUUCUUAGAAAUUUUCCACUUUUGUUGUAGCCUUUCCACUUUUGUUUUAGAAGUUCAAUGAAACUGGUACUUGCAUUCAGGAAAUAGGAAUCCUCACAAGAAAGAGACCUAGUUUUUUAGACAAUCUUCUAUCCAGCUAAGAGUUGUGAAGACUUUUGAUAGACAUCAUAUCAAAAGCAGGCUCUUGGUAACUUUGAAGAAUUUUUAGAGAAGAAAUGUAAGAACUAUGGAAGAAAGCAAGAAAAAUGUAUUUGAAAAUCCAGUAAUGGCAAAUAACAUGCUUGGCUUGUUAUU